rnacentral:rRNA from 1 species
AGAGUUUGAUCCUGGCUCAGGAUGAACGCUGGCGGCGUGCCUAAUACAUGCAAGUCGAACGGAGAUUGUAGCAAUACAUUCUUAGUGGCGAACGGGUGAGUAACGCGUUGGUGACCUGCCCCAAAGUGAGGGAUAACAGCCCGAAAGGGUUGCUAAUACCUCAUGUGGUCUUUGAGAUUAGAUGCUCUUAGACUAAAGGAUUUAUUCGCUUUGGGAGGGGCCUGCGUCCCAUCAGCUUGUUGGUGAGGUAAUGGCUUACCAAGGCUAUGACGGGUAGGGGACCUGAGAGGGUGACCCCCCACAAUGGAACUGAAACACGGUCCAUACACCUACGGGUGGCAGCAGUAGGGAAUAUUGGUAAUGGGCGAAAGCCUGAACCAGCAACGCCGCGUGUGCGAAGAAGGCCUUCGGGUUGUAAAGCACUUUUUAAGGGGAUGAGGAAGGACAGUACCCUUAGAAUAAGCCUCGGCUAACUACGUGCCAGCAGCCGCGGUAA